GACGAACGCUGGCGGCGUGCUUAACACAUGCAAGUCGAACGGAAAGGCCCCUUUGGGGGUACUCGAGUGGCGAACGGGUGAGUAACACGUGAGUAACCUGCCCUUGACUUCGGGAUAACUUCAGGAAACUGGGGCUAAUACCGGAUAGGAAUCCUUGCUGCAUGGUGGGGGUUGGAAAGCUUCGGCGGUUUUUGAUGGACUCGCGGCUUAUCAGCUUGUUGGUGGGGUAGUGGCUUACCAAGGCUUUGACGGGUAGCCGGCCUGAGAGGGCGACCGGCCACAGUGGGACUGAGAGACGGCGCAGACUCCUACGGGAGGCAGCAGUGGGGAAGAUUGCACAACGGGCGGAAGCCUGAUGCAGCAACGCCGCGUGCGGGAUGACGGCCUUCGGGUUGGAAACCGAUUUCAGCAGGGGAGAAGCUUGUGGUGACGGUACCUGCAGAAGAAGCACCGGCUAACUACGUG
rnacentral:rRNA from 1 species